rnacentral:tRNA from 1 species
GGUAUAAUAUUUCAUUAAGAAAAUUUAACCUGCAAUUAAAAAGUAAUAGAACAACCUAUUUUAUACCA